CGUAGGGGGCAAGCGUUGUCCGGAAUCAUUGGGCGUAAAGCGCGUGUAGGCGGCUCGAUAAGUCUGCUGUGAAAGUCCAGGGCUCAACCCUGGGAUGCCGGUGGAUACUGUCGAGCUCGAGUCCGGAAGAGGCGAGUGGAAUUCCUGGUGUAGCGGUGAAAUGCGCAGAUAUCAGGAGGAACACCAAUGGCGAAGGCAGCUCGCUGGGACGUGACUGACGCUGAGACGCGAAAGCGUGGGGAGCAAACAGGAUUAGAUACCCUGGUAGUCCACGCCGUAAACGAUGGGCACUAGGUGUGGGGGGUGUCGACUCCCUCCGUGCCGAAGCUAACGCAUUAAGUGCCCCGCCUGGGGAGUACGGCCGCAAGGCUA
rnacentral:rRNA from 1 species